GAUGAACGCUGGCGGCAUGCCUAACACAUGCAAGUCGAGCGAACGCAUCAGGAGCUGGCUCCCCUGAUUUUAUCGCCGGUCGGGUGAGUAACAUGUGGACAACCUACCUAUCAGACUGGGAUAACUUUGCCGAACCGGAGCUACUACCGGAAGAUAUUUUGAAUCGCAAUGUUCAAAAGUGAGAUUCGCUCUUUCUGUCAGUUAUAGCUUAAUCCGCGCUGCAUUAGCUAGUUGGUAAGGUAACUGCUUACCAAGGAUACGAUGGAUAGCCGACCUGAGAGGGUGAUCGGCCACACGGGAACUGAGAAACGGUACAGACUCCUACGGGAGGCAGCAGUAGGGAAUCUUCCGCAAUGGGCGAAAGCCUGACGGAGCAACGCCGCGUGAGUGAUGAAGGUCUUCGGAUCGUAAAACUCUGUUAUUAGGGAAGAACAUAUGUGUAAGUAACUGUGCACAUCUUGACGGUACCUAAUCAGAAAGCCACGGCUAACUACGUG
rnacentral:rRNA from 1 species